AAAGAAUUAGUUAAAAAUAUAACAUAAAUAUGUCAAAUUUAAAUUAUUAUAAUAAAUAAUAUAAUAUUCUUUU
rnacentral:tRNA from 1 species